CAUGUGUUUAUAUGUCUGUGUGUAUGUCCAGGAGUGUAUAUGAAUAUUCAUAUACAUACACACAUGCACACACAC
rnacentral:miRNA from 14 species